rnacentral:rRNA from 1 species
UACGGAGGGGACUAGCGUUGUUCGGAAUUACUGGGCGUAAAGCGCACGUAGGUGGAUUUGUAAGUCAGGGGUGAAAUCCCGGGGCUCAACCCCGGAACUGCCUUUGAUACUGCGAAUCUCGAGUCCGGAAGAGGUGAGUGGAAUUCCUAGUGUAGAGGUGAAAUUCGUAGAUAUUAGGAAGAACACCAGUGGCGAAGGCGGCUCACUGGUCCGGUACUGACGCUGAGGUGCGAAAGCGUGGGGAGCAAACAGG